AGAGUUUGAUCCUGGCUCAGGACGAACGCUGGCGGCGUGCCUAAUACAUGCAAGUCGAACGAAGCUUUCUUUCACCGAAUGCUUGCAUUCACCGAAAGAAGCUUAGUGGCGAACGGGUGAGUAACACGUAGGCAACCUACCCAAGAGGGGGAUAACACUUGGAAACAGGUGCUAAUACCGCAUAACCAUGAACACCGCAUGAUGUUCGUGUAAAAGACGGCUUUUGCUGUCACUUUUGGAUGGGCCUGCGGCGUAUUAACUUGUUGGUGGGGUAACGGCCUACCAAGGUGAUGAUACGUAGCCGAACUGAGAGGUUGAUCGGCCACAUUGGGACUGAGACACGGCCCAAACUCCUACGGGAGGCAGCAGUAGGGAAUCUUCCACAAUGGACGAAAGUCUGAUGGAGCAACGCCGCGUGAAUGAAGAAGGCCUUCGGGUCGUAAAAUUCUGUUGUCAGAGAAGAAUGUGCGUGAGAGUAACUGUUCACGUAUUGACGGUAUCUGACCAGAAAGCCACGGCUAACUACGUGCCAGCAGCCGCGGUAAUACGUAGGUGGCAAGCGUUGUCCGGAUUUAUUGGGCGUAAAGGGAACGCAGGCGGUCUUUUAAGUCUGAUGUGAAAGCCUUCGGCUUAACCGAAGUAGUGCAUUGGAAACUGGAAGACUUGAGUGCAGAAGAGGAGAGUGGAACUCCAUGUGUAGCGGUGAAAUGCGUAGAUAUAUGGAAGAACACCAGUGGCGAAAGCGGCUCUCUGGUCUGUAACUGACGCUGAGGUUCGAAAGCGUGGGUAGCAAACAGGAUUAGAUACCCUGGUAGUCCACGCCGUAAACGAUGAGUGCUAAGUGUUGGAGGGCUUCCGCCCUUCAGUGCUGCAGCUAACGCAUUAAGCACUCCGCCUGGGGAGUACGGUCGCAAGACUGAAACUCAAAGGAAUUGACGGGGGCCCGCACAAGCGGUGGAGCAUGUGGUUUAAUUCGAAGCAACGCGAAGAACCUUACCAGGUCUUGACAUCUUCUGACAAUUCCAGAGAUGGAACGUUCCCUUCGGGGACAGAAUGACAGGUGGUGCAUGGUUGUCGUCAGCUCGUGUCGUGAGAUGUUGGGUUAAGUCCCGCAACGAGCGCAACCCUUAUUGUCAGUUGCCAUCAUUAAGUUGGGCACUCUGGCGAGACUGCCGGUGACAAACCGGAGGAAGGUGGGGAUGACGUCAAAUCAUCAUGCCCCUUAUGACCUGGGCUACACACGUGCUACAAUGGACGGUACAACGAGUCGCUAACUCGCGAGGGCAAGCUAAUCUCUUAAAGCCGUUCUCAGUUCGGAUUGCAGGCUGCAACUCGCCUGCAUGAAGUCGGAAUCGCUAGUAAUCGCGAAUCAGCAUGUCGCGGUGAAUACGUUCCCGGGCCUUGUACACACCGCCCGUCACACCAUGAGAGUUUGUAACACCCAAAGUCGGUGGGGUAACCUUUUGGAGCCAGCCGCCUAAGGUGGGACAGAUGAUUGGGGUGAAGUCGUAACAAGGUA
rnacentral:rRNA from 1 species